CCGCGGACGAGGGUGAGUGCCGGGCCCCCGCUGUCCGCCCCGCGGGGGGCCGGGCUUGGGCGCGCUUCCCCGGGGACCAGCGGCGGGGGCGGGGGGGCGGGGGGGUGGAGGGCUCGCCGGCCCGGGCCCGGCCGCGCCGGAGGGCCCCGGGGCUCGCGGGCAGCAGCCGGAGGGGCCCGGGGCGCUCGCGGGCGCGCGGGAAGGAGCGGAGGACCCCCCCACCCCCCCGGGCGCGCAGGAAGAGCCGGAAGACCCCCGGGCGCUCCCGGGCGCGCGGGAAGAGGCUUGGGACCCCGCGGGGUGCUCGCACAGGUGCGCGGGAGGCGGCCGCCCCGCCCCCGGGCGCUCUCACAGGUGCGCGGGAAGAGGCCCGCGCGCAUGCGCGCCGGAGACCACCGACUGGGGCUCAGCGUCCUGGCUCGGGUGGGCCCCGGGGUGGAGGGCGAGGCGCGGAGCUUCGAGGUAGGGGUGGGCCCCGCGAAGGAAGGCGGUGGCCAGACGCCCCCGGAGGCGCGGGACUGGGGCAGCAGGGGCGGGAAGGGAGGGGCAGCAGGGGCGGGAAGGGGGUGGCCGCCGAGGCGGGGGAGGUGGGCGAGGGGGGAGGUGGCCGUGGUGGCCCUGCUGGCGGUGGGGGUGUGGGCAGUGGGCUGGGCGCACCUCCGNNNNNNNNNNNNNNNNNNNNNNNNNNNNNNNNNNNNNNNNNNNNNNNNNNNNNNNNNNNNNNNNNNNNNNNNNNNNNNNNNNNNNNNNNNNNNNNNNNNNNNNNNNNNNNNNNNNNNNNNNNNNNNNNNNNNNNNNNNNNNNNNNNNNNNNNNNNNNNNNNNNNNNNNNNNNNNNNNNNNNNNNNNNNNNNNNNNNNNNNNNNNNNNNNNNNNNNNNNNNNNNNNNNNNNNNNNNNNNNNNNNNNNNNNNNNNNNNNNNNNNNNNNNNNNNNNNNNNNNNNNNNNNNNNNNNNNNNNNNNNNNNNNNNNNNNNNNNNNNNNNNNNNNNNNNNNNNNNNNNNNNNNNNNNNNNNNNNNNNNNNNNNNNNNNNNNNNNNNNNNNNNNNNNNNNNNNNNNNNNNNNNNNNNNNNNNNNNNNNNNNNNNNNNNNNNNNNNNNNNNNNNNNNNNNNNNNNNNNNNNNNNNNNNNNNNNNNNNNNCCGGACUGGGGACCCGGGAGAGCGGAGGGACCCGCCCCGCCGUCUCUCCUCCCUCGGCCGCUCUGAGCCCUGUGGCCGCCGGUCGGGACCUCGAGACCCCGCCCCCGCGGCCCCCGCCCCCGGGGUCGCACUCCCGCCCCGAGGGUGUCGCCCUCAGCCGCCGCUGCCCGCGGUUGCGCUCCCUUCUCGCGGAGCCUGUGCCCCCGACCGGGCCGGGCAGCCCCGUGCCAGCGCCGGUGGCCUGUGCGAACGUGCCCGACAUCACGAUGGGGUGGGGGCCUGACAAGGAGCGGCGUCGAAAUACCCGGUGCGCGGAACCAGCUCCGCCUGCGCCACCGACUGGAAGACGUCCGGAGGGGAGUUUGAAUGCCAGCCGCGCGGCCCGUCCGCACCCACACGUGCUGGGGACCCCCCUGCGCGGGACCGCGCAGGUCUGGGGGAGGGGCCGGCUCGGGAGCCAAGGCUCCCAGAGCAUUUAAACAAGGAGGGUUUUGGGUAAUUCCAGCACCUCUUAGUUUCCUCCGAAACCGUAUUCUCUAUCUCCACCCCCCACAUUUAUGUUAAGGGAAAAGAAAAAAUAUGAUAACCUGCAUUUGUACGCACAACACUGAAGGCGUGAGCAUCAGCUCAAUUCCCUGCCCUUCCCCCUUAGGUGCCGAGGGAGUGGGGAGUUCGCUCUGUUCCCGGCCUGUUCUCUGGGCACCUCUCGCCAGCUCAUUAAAUAGCAGUUACUCAGACUCUAAUUAGGAACUCCUAAUGGGUGCCAGUGCUGCCCUUGAGCCUUUUAUCCUGAGCUCAUGGCGUCCUAUUAUUAGAAUACUCCUCUCCACACCCCAAAAACCACAGAAGCCAGCCUUCUCCUGCCACCAGAUUUGCUCCCGGGAUGGCCCUUGCCUGCAAAUUUAUGGUAAUUGGCGUUGGGAGCCUCUCUUCUGGGGAUAACUAAGCAAAAAUUUUAAUGAGAUAAGAAGUCUCUUGAGCUUUUAGUGUCGACUGCACAGAUACUGCUGGUAAUAUAAUUAGAACAGAAUGAGCAAAAUUGUAAGAUGUUGCUUGCGUUUAAGGCAGUCUCGGUUUGGGAAGGGAGAAAAAAAUAGUGCGGAUGUCUGCCCGAGACUCCAUGCUUGCAGGGAGAUUUUGCAUACGAUCCUCUGGCCUGCUUGCUAUCUGGGCAUCCCUUCAGGGAAGGCCCAGCCUUGACUCUAGAAGACUCUGGAAGGGUGGUGAGGCCCUGGCCUCAUCGAUGAAUGUCUUUGCACACAGGCCCCACUGCUUCCGUUUCCACCUCCUUAAGUCCCGGUACAAACGGCGGUGGGAAGGAAAAGGUCUCUUUUUAGCUUAAAAUACACCUUUGGAGUCUUUGUUCCUGUUCCGGAAGAACAGAGUUUCUCCAAGCUCUGAACGCCUCCAUCUGGAAUCAUAUUUCUGUUGUUUUCUGAAUGCCAACAGCAUAAAUUGCUCAGUAAUAAUAGCUUUGCAGAGAAUCUGGAAUCACUCAGGCAGCUGUAAUGCCCCCGAGCCUCCCUACAUCUGAGCUUUGUGACCCGAGAGGACUGUGGCUUCAUUGGGCUUCAGAGGCGCCUGUGACGCCGUCCGCUUGCAGGGCAGAAAGCCCCCGUGUCGUUUCACACAUCUUCCCCUGGUGACUCAGGAUAAGAUCUGCUCUUCUCUGGAGUUCAAGGGAUUAUUGUCUCCACCGUGGCCCUGAUUGGAGUUUUUCUCUUGCAGUUAUUGUAAUUAUGUUGAAAUUACAGCGUUGGUACCCAGCACAUAUUUGCAAAAUAGUUCGCAAAGAGCAGCAAUAACUUUUGUAAUAAAAUUAAAACUUCUAGGAGUUUAUCUUUUGCCAAGAACCUGGCUCCUGCUGGAAACGAUGUUAAAAUAAACAGUGCCUUGGAAAUUGAAGCCAUUCUCUGUCUUAUGCAAUGUUUGACCAAUUAAAAAUUAAUUUCCUCCUUUCACAAAUAUUUACUGAGUACCUUCCAUGGGUCAGGCACAAUUCUAGGGGCGGUGAUGAAUGAAGUAGACCCAGUCCCCAACCCCUUGCAGCCUAGACUCUAACGAGAUGAAAGUCAGUAAACAUGACCGUGUGAAUUCUUGUGUAGUAACAGAUCAAGACAAGUAUUCUGAAGGAAAGGAAUAAACCAUGAAAGCACAUAACAAGGAAAUGUUGAGUUGAGAUCUGAAGGGUGAGAAGUGGCAAAGGAGGAUGGUAUGGUGAGGUCCCAGGGGGAAUCGUGUGCAAAGGCCAUGUGGUGAGGACUAGGGCACACUGGAAAACUGAAGGAAGGCCAGAGCAGAGAGUCGUAAUUUGUAACUUCAUAUAAUUUUGUUAUUGUGAUAUUUCAUUUAUGUAAAUUGAUGGGGCUUCAUACUUUAGGGCUUGAUAGAGUAGGAUAUGGGUUAAUUUUGCAGAGCUGAGAUCUACCGAAUCAUAAAGGGACAUCACCAAAUAAGAUGAUGUAGACGAAACGUUUCAUAAGCUGAUAAGCACAGUGCCAGCGUUAAUGCUGUGAGUACUAUUGUAUUACAAAGUCUUGGGCUGUGAGGUCCCUCGAGUGUGUGAAUGAGGAACCUGCUACCUUUGAGUCACCGUCUUCUCUCGUUUUUACUGUGGCUGAGCCCCCCCGUCUGGGCUCUGCACAUUCCUCUUGUCUCCUCUGGUCAGUUUGUCACACGGUGGUCAGAGCAGUCAUUUACAAACACAGAUCUUACCGUGUUGGGGCGUCAGUGGCUUCCCACUGUCAAAGCUGCACCCCACAAUUCUUCACAUGGGCGGUGAGACCCCAGUUGCUCUGGUUGUCCCACAAACGCCCGCAUGCGCCGCUGCAUGCGAAACCCUAACCCCCACUGCGAUAGUGUUUGGAGGUGGGGCCUCGGGGUGAGCAGGUCGGGAGGAUGGAACCCGCGUGAAUGGGGUUCGUGCCCUUGCGAGAAGACAGGAGUCUGUCUCAACCGUGUGAGGACAGCGGGAAGUCGGCCACCCAGAUGACCCUCACCCAGCCAUGCUGGCCCCCUGAUCUGGGACUUGCCAGCCUCCAGAACUGUGAGAAAUAAGUAUCUGUUGUCUCUGAUGUUUUUGUAUAGCAACGUCAGCAGACUCAGGGUGGCUUUACACGGGAACAAUCUGCUUACAGAUCUGCGGCGUGAGGACGGCUCGUCUCUGUACCACUCGGCGGGCGGUGCGGUGCGUGGUGGCUUAGAGCCCGCACAGCCUUGAGCUCUGUUGUCUGGGCUCCGGGUGGGGCCGGUUCAGGCAGGCGGGGCCGCUGGAGCGUCCCUGUCUCUCUGCGGCCCCUCCCGGUGCUCUCCCAGCUUGGCCGCUUCAGUGCGCUGGACCUCGUCCACGUCGAGGCACGGUUCCCAAGGACCGCGUCCUGAGGAGGGAGAGCCGGGGGGAGUCCGCGCCUCCUUUCCCAGACUAGGCUUGGAAGUCCCCCCCGUGUCACCUCACGGCAGCUCCCGGCCUGCCCGGGUUCAAAGGCAGGGAACGUGGACCUCACCUCCCGUGGCGAGUGUCCUCUCGCGUGGUGAGAAGAUCGUGCUGGACGGGAAACGUCCGUGGGGCCAUCUUUGGAAAACACCCUGUGUCGCAGCCCACUCUCUGGCCACUAACUUCCUAUUCCUCCCGCGUGCAGUGUCACGACCCCCCCGUCGGGUCCCCCAACCUCAUCCUGUCGUGGCAUCAGGCUCAGGCUCCAGCAUCCCGUCACCGAAAUCAGGCCCAGGUGCGCGUGAGCCGUCCUGGCUGCUGGUCAGGAGUGCAGCUUCGUGAACACGCUCUUCACGUGAGGACCCACGCCCCAAGCCACCUGCCCCGCACCGGACACGCAGUGGCAGACGCGCGUGGGACAGAUGCCGCGGGCCCUGCGGCUGGAACCAGCAGGAUGUUCGUACUUGGACGGAGACAGACUCGUUUCUGCUGAGGUACGGGCUCCUGUGGCCGUGGGGCCGGUGGGGCUGGCGGGCGCCGGGCCGGGGCGGCGGGCCGCCGCUGGAGCCUGAGGGCCGUCCGGGGACAGGCUUCUCUCUUCCUGGGGGACCUCAGCCCUUCCCCCCGCUCCGAGCCCUCGACUGUUGGGUGCGGCCCCCCUGCAUCAGGGAGGGGGUUCUGCCGUAGCCAAGUCCACCAGCUUAAGCGAUCAUUCCCUCUAAACGGUGCCUGCCCAGCCACGCAGACGGGUGCUGAGGGAGCGUCUGGGUACCGGGGCCCAGCCACGCAGACACGUGGACGCCCCCGUCACACCCGCCUCUUCCCCGGCGGAUGCGGGAGGCCCCCAGAGCCUGGCCCGUGCGUCCUGCGCUGCAGUCCGGCCCAAGCUGGCACUUCCUGGAAAGGGCUCGAUUCGAAUUCCUGAGGACGAUUUUUCCAUUGCUCUUGGCCUUGCCUUCUGGAUUCGUGGCGCUCCCUUGGAAGUCACCCUUUCUUGUCCAGAAGAAAUGCCUGGUGUGUGCAGCUGACGCUUUUCUCAGCCUGCUUCCUGUUUCCGUCUUGUGAUGUCUCUGUCCCACGGAGUCCACGCUGGUCGUGCCUCUUCCUGUUUGUGCUGCAGACGCGGGGGGCCGCCUGUGGCUCUGUUGGGACUCGUGCCGUUUGACAGAAGCACCGGUCACGAAUGUCGCUGGCGUGAGUCCUCGGUCUGCCUUGGACCUCCGCCGGGCCAGGGCUGCGCAGAAAAAAAGUCCCUGAAAUUCCCAAAAGCUGCAGGUCAGUGUCCACGAGGCAGGAGCGCCUCAGGGGACUCCUGUCUGAGAGACGCCGAGGCGCCCCGUCCGACAUCUACGAGGCCUCCACAAAAGAUCUGGGUUUGACCCUUCCUUGAAGCUCCUUAAUUUGACGCUCUUGGAGAGGCUGGGAAACGGGCCCGUUUUAUUUUUGACCCCAGCCCCCAGCAAGGCCCGGUUCCUUGAUAUUUGCUUGGUCCCAGUGUCACUUGAGAACCGACUGCUUCCUUCCCGGACCUUGUCUCCUCUCGUUCCAUCGCGCCACCAAGAGAAACCUCAGCAGCGUCACUGAGACCUGCGUGGAGACCGCCCCGAGGCCGUCGGUUCGGCGAGGCUGGCCGUGCCCUCAGCCCCUCUGCCGCCCCGGCACAGGGGGCUCGGGGCAGGGGCCUGGCCCCCGGGGGCCCGCUGGCUGCCAGGCGUCUGCUCAGCUGCUGGACGUCCUUCCGAUCCAGCGCCCUGCCUGGCCGAGAGCCCCGGGGUGGGGGUGGGGGUGGGGGGUGCACAACCAGUCAUUCCAGAAGACCCGCUCGGAACAGCAGGGUUUAUUUUGGUCACACUCUGCAGGGAUCUGCAGGGAGGGUCCUCUGUGCCCCACUCAGCUGAGGGAAAUGCAAACAGAUCCUCCGCAGGUGCACACGCCCUUCCAAAACCCAGGCUGGGGUGCCUGCCGGCGAGCCCUGCCGCUGUCUCUGGUGGCCCCUCUGGCUGGGCGCUCCAGUGACCCCCCCCCCCCCCCCCCCCGCCGUGUGGGCACGGGAAUCCAGGUGUGGGUGUCACGAGGACGAGAACCAGCAGCUGCUGUUUGCAACAUGGCCGCUCAGGCCCAGAGGAUGCUAAGGGGUCAGCAUCCCCUGGGGAGGGCAGCGUGGGACGGGCUGGACCGGGGGGGCCAGGGCGGGCCAGCCGUGUGUUCCUCGGGCCCUGUUGCUCCUGACGGCCUGCCGGCGGCUCCCUCGAUGCCCCCGUGCCCGUCUUACAGCUUGUGUGCGGGGACCGCGUCUUCAGGCCUCCUGUCCUCCUCUCAAGUCCUGCUCGUGCUGUUCGCCCCCAGGUACGCCUGGCUUCCUCUGGGAAGCAUCCCUGGACGUGCCGGGGAGGUCUGUCCCCUGUGCUCCCCCCGUCUGUGAUCAUUCACUCAGUCACUGGGGACGGGUGUGGGGGGGUCUGUCUCGCCUCCUGGACCAGAAGCCCCGGGAAACCCGUCCUGUACCCGCCCCGUGUGGGGUGGCACCCGGUGGGCUUGGGGGGCCGAUGAAUGAGGGCUGGGCGUCCCCCCUGCCGCGGGAACCUGUGAGCCAGGAUUCUUCGUGGCCUGUUCCCUGUCAUCCGUGCCCGGCAUCUCGUGGGCUUCCGUCAGUGUGCGUUUGCGAACGAAUGCAUGACUUAGUGAGAAGGAAGCCCACCCAACAGGGCCCUGGACAGUGCAUGGGCCGUGUCUCUGCCAGAAGGAUUGUGUUCUCGGCGGGCAGAGAGUUCGUGGUGCAGGGGAGAGCCGGUCUCCCCCGCCCUCUGCCCUGGAAGGACGGAUGCCGGCUGUGGAAUUCUGUCCCGGGACAAGAUAGCAGCUGUGAAACGUGACCGGGGCAAGAAAAGUCUGUGCCUUAGUUCAUGCCACAGCUUCUCAUUCAUCAGUCCUGGCACUUUGCAUGGGGCGCUCACCUGCACGGUCACUGCCCCUGGAGCUGGCGGGAACCCCGCUUUGGCCGAAAGUGGCGAUCGGGUUCGGUAAUUUUAGCCACGUGUGUUGUCAUUUUGAUCACGAAGCCGAGAUGGAAAGAACAGUUCUCUUCAUUUCCUGAAGGCAGGCAGACAGCAUGAUUCGCUAUAUGCGCUUUUGUUAUUUAUUAAGGAGACCUUAUGUGAAGGUUGGAUUUUUUUUUUUAACUCUUUAAAUGUUUUUUUCAUUGUUGAGAGAGAGACAGAGCAUGAGCGGGGGAGGGGCAGAGAGAGAGAGGGAGACACAGAAUCGGAAGCAGGCUCCAGGCUCUGAGCCGUCAGCACAGAGCCCGACGCGGGGCUCGAACUCACAGACCGCGAGAUCACGACCUGAGCCGAAGUCAGACACUUCACCGACUGAGCCCCCCAGGCACCCCAUUGGGUUUUUUAAGGAGAAAUACUGGGAUGGGAAAAAGAAGCCCAGUUUAUGAACCAAAGGUUGUGAACCACGAGGGGGAACGUUGAGUGAACUCCAGGCACCUGGGGUAUGUCUCCACGAGCAGCCCCAAGGCCAUGGGGAGACCGUGGUCCCAAAUCUCAUGCUGCUCGGGCGUGGCUCUAGCUGGUGGUUUGUGGGUGCCUUGGGUCUGCUGACGUGGGGUGUGAACUGAGAGGCGCUUGCCCCCACCACCCCCCCCCCCCCCCCCGCCGGUCCCCUGCUACAGCAGGUGGCAUUCGGCGGCAGACAGGACGAGGCCCAGAGGCAUGGUAGUGUCUUUUCACGCUGUCCUGCUACCACCUGUUCCUGGAGGCACCAGCCUCGGCCCCGAAGCCUCUAGGAGCUGUCAGUGUGAUGCACUGCUGGCCGCGUGGCCUGUCUUCCGUGGUGUCGUGGGCUUUGUGGGAAUCUGUACAAAUGGCUGGAUCCUAGACUUCCGCCCUCCUGGAAUUGAGAGAACACCACACAGGAAGCAGGGCACACUGGGGUCGUGAGUCCGGGUCAGCCUGGAGCAGUCACUUGACCCGUCUGGUCUCAGUUUCCCCUGUUGAAGUGAAAGGCAGGGCGCCUGAAGAACUGGGGCCGUCGGGGUCCCCAGAGGCCUGGGUUUGGGGACGGGAUCUGGAGCUGGACAUUUUGACAUCCAGCAGGCUGUGUGAGAGUGUUUUCCCUGCAAACCUGCAGCCCACGGCAGGCCCCGGAUUUAGCAGAAUUUGACUUUUGAAAGUGACGUUUUCUUUUCAGGACCCUAAGCCUGAAAGUCUGGCCAUCUCACUGAAUUCUUCACCGGGGGCCCUUCCUUUUGGGGCCCUUCUGGAGUCAGUGUUGUUUUAUUUUGUGCACGGACACACACACACACGUGUGCACACACACGGGCGUGCAUAUGUGCACACCUGUGCAUAGAGGGGUGUGCAUGUAGAAUAAUGUCUCUGAUUCCCAAAGCAGUACCUGUUGAGGAUAGACAAUUUGAGGGCAGCAAAAUUUAUGAAAAGAGAAGUCACACAUCAUCUUGCCACAAACAAGCUUUUUAGACUUUUUGGUAUUUUUCUCAAUGUUUUUCUGUGGUUUCUCCUGUGUGUGCACAUGCACGUGUGCACACACCCACCCACAUACACAUGUGCGCACACACGCACACGUACACAUGUGCACACACCCACCCACAUACACAUGUGCGCGCACACGCACACACAUACACAUGUGCACACGCGCGUUCACACAUGCACACACAUACACAUGUGCACACACACACACAUACUGCUCUGUAAGUGGCAUGUGCCGCCCUGUGAUCUUGGUCUCUAGAGUCACUGUGGUCGAGGAGUUUUCACAAAUGCGUGGAAACUUCGAGAACGUAGCUUUUAACAAGGGCCUAUGAACACGACGGAAUUUGUUGGUAAAAUUCCUGGUCUGUUAUCCCAGGGCUUUGCAGAUAGGAAUGCUGUGGGAAGUCCUUGUCCUCAGAGCUCUGGUUUUCCAGAGUGGGGCUUCCGUCCGCGUCGUGAGUGCUUCGGACAUGCCAGGCGCGGGUCUCCCGAGGUGAUCGGGUCUCCGAGCAGCACGUCCUCGCACAGGGAGCCUGUGUGAGCACCGCGGCCCCCAGGCGCGCCCCGCCCCCCGUCUGCUUUCAGCGGGUCGUGCACUCUGGGUUAAGGCAGUUUGACAAAGCACUGCGUUCUCCUGCUCCGAAGGGGUCCACACUCUGUCCUAGAGUCCACAGAAACGUCUCUAAAAGCCGAAAGGCCUUUUCUGGAGCUCCUGUCGCUGGGGGCUGGGCUGAGGGGCCGGGCGGCUUGCAGAGACCCCCGAACGGAAGGGUGGCUGCAAACACAGGCUACGUGUCGGGAGAAGAGGCCGAGCGUCCGUGGAAGGAACGCCCCGCGUGUGGCCUUGGCUCCUUGUGAGAGGUCGCCUGCCGAGGAAGCGCUGACCCUCCCCACGAGGAGACACGAGCUGUGCUGCGAUUCUGUGCGGGGAGGCUCAUCGCCACUGGUUUCGUCGCCUCUGUCCAGACCUGACACACAGCAACUGUCCACGUCCUCCUGGAAUUUCAAACGCUGGACACACUGCGGGGGACGCUGUCCGGUGCCUCACGGUCAUGCACCGAAGUCGCAGCCGCCCCAGAGCCACUCCGAUGUCUUACUGUAUUUUGCAUCUGCAAAGUGGGACUGUUUGGUUUUUUCUAAAAUCAUCACCUUCGUGAGACUGGUUUCCUCUCUCGCUCUGAACUCACUUCGCGUUAGCUUCAUGCUCCCAGGGACAAAAUGAAGACACGUCGAGACGUUGGCGACUUUCAUCUAGAAACCACAUUCGGUCCGAUGUUCAAAGCGUUUGCAAAGACAGCAGAUAACAGCACAAAGGCUCCUCAGAUUCAAUCUCAGGCCAGAACUAUGAACCUUUAGCGUCCGCAUCUGCACUCACCUGGCUGUGUCUGGACCGCCCAGUGGUCUGUCUGGUGGCUCACACACGUGAACUCACACUCGUCAGACCUUUGGUCUUGAUUUCUCCUUCAAAGGUAGCGGCUAAAAUAUCAGUGAGAGCAAUUGGCACUUCACGUCCGCCUGGACACUGGGCAGAAAGCCUGUUCUGCGUGGCCGUCCGUGACCUGAAGCACACCGUAGGCGUUUUCCCUGGACCCACGGCGGUCACACUCACUGUUCGGGAACAGCCAUGUCCGAGGAGGAAGUACAAGCUAAAUAACAUCCUCUUUUUCAGGAUGUUUUUGGAUGUGUUGGUGAUGCAGGUGCAGUGGGAAGGGAAGACUGCAUUAUGUCUUAAUCAAACCAGAGCAGAAGUUGGAGAGAAGGGUUUCUACCUUAUUUUCAAUGUGCAUCAACAACGGUAGAUAAACAAUGACAUUGAUAGCUAGGGCACUGGGUUAGGACUCUGCAUGGUUGGGUUUAAAAAUUUUUUUUAAUGUUUAUUUUUGAGGGAGAGAACUUGAGCAGGGGAGGGGCAGAGAGAGAAAGGAGAGAGAGAAUCCCAAGCAAGCUCCACUCUGUCAGCACAGAGCCCGACACGGGGCUUGAACCCACCAACUUAACCGUGAGAUCAUGGCCUGAGCCGAAGUCAGACACUCAACCAACUGAGCCGCCCAGGUGCCCCCCACCUCCCAGGACUCUGCACAGGUUUUAAUUACACUCUGUAGGUAUCCGGUCUGAUCUUGGACAAGGCUCCCUUUUAUAAAUCCAAGAGCUUAAAACUUGGAAAAUGACAAAAUGUGAGUUUUUACUGAAGGUCACCAUAUUUCAAUUCCAGUACAAUUUUAAGCAUCCUGAAUAAGUUAAUCAAGCACUCCAGCACUAGGAAUGAAGUAAGUUACUAUCUGUUGAUUAAAUCUGCUUGCUUAUGAUUAAGGUCGUAUGGCUUCCAUUAAUUUUCAGUGAAGCCAGGUUCAUGAAUUGAUAAGGACUGAUAGCCAUUUAAACAAACAGAGGAACAUCUGACAUCUUAAGUUGUCAAGUAUCUCAAACACCAGAAACGAUGCGUAAAAGGAAAUAGACGAGUUAUCCUUUGCCUUGGAUGCUUUAAAUUUCCAGAAAAACCAAAUGAUACCAAGCUGGGAAAACGUCCCCUUCCUUCCUUCUUGGGAAGUAACCUCUAUGCCAGAUUCCUUCCUCUUCUUUUCACAUCCUGUAAACAACCUACAGGAUUUUACUUCGUGUGCAGGAUGUGGACGGUAUUGCAUGGUAUCUUUGUACCAGCUGCAAACCCUCAAAAAUUCGAAGUUGUGUUUUUGAGAUGUAUUCAUAGUCAUGUAAAUUAGCUCAUUUUCACGUAUAUAGUGAUUUGGGCAGACACGAGAGUAGUCUAAAAGCAGUCUAGUGAAUUCCAUUUGUGCAGCAGGACACCAAGCAUUCUCUCUAAAACACAGGACUGAGCACGGUCGCUGCCGGGUCACCUUCCCUGCACUUCCUCACAAACCAUCAGUGGCUCCCCACUGUAACCAAGACGGAGGGGCUCCAUGGACGUGGCUGGUCCUCCGCAGUACAGCCAGCCGCUUUCUGUUUCUAGAACCGCUCAGGCUUGUUUUCACCCCAGGACCUCCCCGUGGCUGCUCUCUCCCGCCUUCCCUGCUAACUGCUACCCCUCUCAGCGGUCAGCCUACCUUCCAUACUCUCGGAGGACUCUUUCCCCAUCCCGGAGUAGGAAUCCCGUCCACCAUCAUCAACUCUCAGAAGUGUGUGUUUCCUUCAUGGCACCCGCCACGGUUUGUAUUUCCAGUAGAGUUCACGUGACGGCUUUAGGUUCACCUUCCUCACGAGCCCGUGAGGGCCAUGGGGCCCGGGGCCACACCUGUUGUGUUCCUCGGUGCUUCCUGGUACGUCGUACACUUCCUGCUACAUUGUGGGUGUGCAACGUGAUCGACGAGGAAUGAGCCAGCGAAUGCACAUUGUUCGUCAUUUAUCAGUGCUGAGGGAUCCAUGGGAAGUUAACAGCACAACUGAGAAAAACCGGGAUUGAGUUGGCACGGGGAGUCUCUUAUUUUCCGGCUUUCUGUCGUUGUGGGACACUCCACUUUAUUUCAGUGGAUGCCCGGAACAGAUUCACUCGGAAAGGGCCAGGUUCACCCAAAUACUGCUCGGAACUGCAUCUUAUAGCUACAAUUUGCAGACUGUCAGUGAUUCUCUAACCUUAGUGCUCGCACUUGUAUGUUGGGCCAAAUCCAUGAUUCUUGAAUCUUGACCCACGAAGAAAGAGAGAUGCUUCUAUUUCAACAGAUUUUGAGUUGGCAUUCUUUUUUUUUUAUUAAGUUUUUUGAUGUUUAUUUAUUUUUGAGAGAGAGACAGAGCGUGAGCAGGGGAGGGGCAGAGAGAGAGGGAGACACAGAAUCCGAAGCAGGCUCCGGGCUCCGAGCUGCCAGCCCGGCCGAGGACGUGGGCCCAGAGAGCCCGCGAUGCCUUGGCCUUUAGCGCAGCACUGUUGAGCUGCCCUCAGAGCCGGGAGCACAGCGCUUGGAGCAGGACGCCUCGGGCUGACCGGCAGGGGUGCUCACCCCUGUGGCCCCCGUGGCUCCCGUGGCCCGCUCCGCUGGUGAACGCAUGGAAUGAGCCCGGGCAGGUUUUCCUGAGGCCACGCAGUCAACGCUCCAGAGAUGGGAAAAGAGAAGGCUGUCGUGGUUUGGGUCUGUUGCUGAUUUUUUUGGUUUUCUGAGACUAGGAACUCGAACUGUCUGGGCUUCAGGCGUUUUCUCCUUUACUGAGUCAAGACGGUGGUGACACUUGUCCUCACGCAUGGAUCGCGAGGGCGCUCGUCUGGGUACACGGGUGGGGCUGUUCGCGCUCCUUCGUCCCGCUCGAGGCUUUCUGUGCUGCUGUCGGGGCGGGAACCUCGCUGUGCACGCUUUCCCGGCAGGAGCUGUGCUGUGCCCGGUUCUCCCUAAACGUCCCGCUUAACCCCCUGGGCGAUGCAGCGCGGCGGUUCUUGUCUUCAGCCAGUCUGACUGCGGUUUCCAGGGACGGGAAUCCCACCCAAGUCAGCAUAGGUUACGGAUGGAACUUAUUAGCUCACGUACGUCAGAAGCCCCGGGGUGCAGCUGGCUCUGGGCACGGCUCGAUCCAGGGGCCUCUCUUUCCAUCUCCUAGGUUUUGCUCUGUGUGUUGGCUUCCUUUUCUCCUACUGAAAACAAGCUUUCCUUUGAUUUCAGCUCCCUGACCCGCGGAGGCAAGGCCCUUUCUCCUCCUGCAUCAACUGGAAGGCUGAUGUGUCACUGCUGCAAAAGACCUGGCUUGAGGCCGUGCUCCGCUGAACCCGGCACCGAGGAGCGGGCCGGGCCCGGAGCAGCCCUGUAAUUAAAACCCACCCGCAUCUUCUAGGAUUACAGAGCAGUAUCGUUUAUCUAGGAAACGGAGAACCCGGCAUAGUUGUGGAGGAGAUUAGAAAGCCCAUCUUUAUUUCAACCCCCAAUCCCUUUCAAGAACUCUUUUUGUCGGCAGUAUCCUCGCUCCUUGAUAGAACUGUAAUGUGUGUCAUCCUUGGUACAGCUUCCGAACUUCCAUGUGUUUUCAGAGUUUGUUUUUUGUUGUUUACCUAGUUAGCGCCAUCCAUCCAUCCAUCCGUCCAUCCAUCCAUCCAUCCAUCCAUCCAUCCAUCCCUCCAGCGUUUACUGGUUGUGCUUGGAGAACCCAUCCCUGUGCUAAAGACAGAAUGACUAAUGAGAUCUUCUGUCCCGAAUUUCACGUUCUUCUAGAAAAGGGUGGUGCGCAGGCAGAUGGGGGGCGAUACUAGGUGGAGCUAAAUUAAGACAUUCUGGGAACACAGACCACACCACCUCACAGGGAAGGGAGGCGAGCGGUUUCUCCCGGAUGGGCUGCACGGGGCUGGAGCUCAAGAAGGAGGGGGAUCGUAAUUGAAAUGCUGACCAAGCUGGCUCGGGGCAGGAGGAACCCGUCAGCCCAGGAUCUAAGAUACAGACCUGCACGAGGGCGCAGGUGUCCUGGGAACAGCUCAGAGCCUCCUUCACCAGCCUUGGCCUCGGGACUUUAGGAAGAGCUGUUACAUACACCUGUUAUUCAGGAAAUUCUCUGAAAUUUUACUUGGUGCAAGUGAGCCCUGCCAAAGAUUCACCCCCUAAAGUUACAAAGAUCGUAACUGCCCUAAAUGACUCCCGCCAAAGCGCUCUGAGCAGGUGCGCGCACACCGCUGACUGCUUUAUUCUCAGAGCUGGGUGGGGCACCCAGAGUUACUAGGACCGGGGACAGGACGCCCUGGGCAACGGACAGAGCGUUUGGAGACGGUGUGGGCUUCAGUCCGCCCAGCUCGCGGCUGUGACGGAAAUCCCCUCGUGCGCCAUCAGUAGCGCGUGCGGAAGCAUUGGGCGUGGCGCUUCUGGGGCAGGUGCACUUGAGCCAGGGCGCUGGUUCCACUCUGGCUCUGCCACUUACCAGCCGCGUGGUUGGUUUGUUGUAUGAUGUGGGUGAGAUUGCUUCACAUCUCCUUUCCUCUUCUGUAAAAUGGGGCUAGUGAAAGCAAGGGCCUCACAGGACGGUGGUGAGGGUUGUGCGUGUUUGCAUGAUUUAUCACAGGAGAACCGUGCCUGGCAUAAGAGAUGUUUGCUAUCGUUUUUAUCGCUACUAGUGUGUGCUCAGCCUGUGUUACAGUUCAUCUGCGCUUUUAGGAAUCUCCUUCAUAAAAAAUAAAAAUCAUACAUUGUAGUGUGGUCACAUAAACCCCAAUGUCACUGGACCUCCCGAAAGGCACCACUUACUCAUCAAAUUAUUCACCAAAGUAUGUCACCAGCCACCCUGUCCAUUUCCUUUUCUUUUCUUUUUUUUAAUGUUUAUUUUUGAGAGAGAGAGAGAGAGAGAGAGAGCGAGCAUGGAAGGGCACAGAGACAGGGGGAGACAGAAUCCUAAGCAGGCUCCAGGCUCCGAGCUGUCAGCACAGAGCCCCAAGUGGGGGUUGAACCCAUGAACUGUGAGAUCAUGACCUGAGCCGAAGUCGGUCGCUCAACCGACUGAGCCCCCCCACCCCCCCAGUCACUCCUACCCUGUCCAUUUCUAAACUACACAGACUAUGUUACCUAAGUUGGUUUUAGUUUUCUUUUAUUCACUGAGUAUCUCCAUGCUUGAAACCUCGUAGCUCUCUCCCAGACACGCUGGGUGUGGACCACUUCUCCCGUCUCCCGACACCAUGCAGCACCGUGCUCUUGGUGGCCAGACAGCAGUGUUACUGGGAUGUGUUUCAAAAUGAAGAAGCAUCUUGGGAUCGAUGCUUCUUCACGCCUGGCUUUGGACUUUGUAAUUCUGCACACAUAGUGUGAUGGCCCUCCUAAAACUCCACUCUGUACUACGAAGAGGAAACAUGAACCAGGCAUUGGGGUGAAGAUCAGAGCCUCGCGGAACAUCGGUUCAUCCACAGCCUGGGCUCCCUCCUGACCCACCAGCUCUAGGCCCCCUCCAAAACUGCCAACUCGUUUUAACUGGGGCCCAAAGAAGACAUCAUCUUGAAAAGUAAUAUUGGUGUGAACAGCCGAGGCAAACCAACACAUUCUUUUUUUUUUUUUUUUUAAUUUUUUUUUUUUCCAACGUUUAUUUAUUUUUGGGACAGAGAGAGACAGAGCAUGAACGGGGGAGGGGCAGAGAGAGAGGGAGACACAGAAUCGGAAACAGGCUCCAGGCUCUGAGCCAUCAGCCCAGAGCCCGACGCGGGGCUCGAACUCACGGACCGCGAGAUCGUGACCUGGCUGAAGUCGGACGCUUAACCGACUGCGCCACCCAGGCGCCCCUACAUUCUUUAAUCCAAUAGAAAAUUCUGGAGCUUCCUGUGAGUUUGUAAGACUGUGUGACAGUUCUGUCUGUGGCUUUCUUUGUUGAUGAACCUCACAUCGAGUGCCGGCUGCUCACCAGGAGGAUGGUGUCUUUCUGGUGUUGAGGGAGGCACACGUGGGGACAGCACGGGCGCCGUCCCCAGGGCCUCUGGGACCUGACGGGUGUGGAUGGAGACGUCGAUGGAGCAACAGGCUGGGCAGGACGUGGACGGCACCCAGGAGGAGCUCCUUACAAGCAGUACGUGUCACGGAAACUCACAUAAGCUUCCUAAGUCGAUUGACAAAUACAGUUUUUUUUUAUUUUUUUAAUGUUUACUUAGUUUUGAUAGAGCAUGAGCGGGGGAGGGGCAGAGAGAGAGGGAGACCCAGAAUCCGAAGCAGGCUCCAGGCUCCGACUGUCAGCACAGAGCCCGACUCGGGGCUUGAACUCACGCGAGAUCACGCGAGAUCACGCGAGAUCAUGACCUGAGCCGAAGUCGGACGCUCAACCGACUGAGCCACCCGGGCGCCCCGACAAAUACGUUUUUUUUUUUUUUAAAGCUGCCUGUAAUUAUUUAAAGGAUUCUUUUUAGCAACCUAUAUUACGAUGAAGCAUAUUUAAUUUUAAAUCAACUAAUUUCCACGUUAGAGACACAAACAAUGUUCCCAUUAGGAUAUCGUACGAUCAUUAAAAAAAAUUCAUUGUUCAUAGUGAAGAAACUCAUGGAAAGAAACUGUAAAACUUCGGUUUAGGUUUCUGUGAAGAAGAAACUCCUUCAGGGGGAAACGCUACAUAAAUGACAUUUAAAUAAGACUUGUUCUUGAAACACUUUCUGACUACAGUCAAGAAGGGAGCCUGUCACUGUCACCUACGUAUCCACCCUGACACGUCCCUUUUCACCAUCUGCCGCAGCAGCCCCCAGAAGCAGUGUUCGGGGCAACACCUGAUGGCGAUCACUCGGGAAAGAAGUCCUUCCUGAUGCCACGACCAGGUGCGGGGUUUCGGUUACUUCAUGUGGCCAGGACGGGCACCCUGCCCAGAGUCCUGCAGGACUCCCUUACUGGAAUUCUGAUUCUAGAACCAACCAGCACAUGGAGGGAAAACUGUGACUCCCAGCCCGAGGAAAUUGGGCGAUAACCUCGUCAACAGGAUUGCUGAGGCCUCGGGGCUGUUAGAUGCAAAACGGGCUGACUCUUCCCCCAUCUGUUUUUUUUUUUUUUUUUUUUUAAUUUUUUUUUUCAACGUUUAUUUAUUUUUGGGACAGAGAGAGACAGAGCAUGAACGGGGGAGGGGCAGAGAGAGAGGGAGACACAGAAUCGGAAACAGGCUCCAGGCUCCGAGCCAUCAGCCCAGAGCCUGACGCGGGGCUCGAACUCACGGACCGCGAGAUCGUGACCUGGCUGAAGUCGGACGCUUAACCGACUGCGCCACCCAGGCGCCCCUGUUUGUUUUUUUUUAAGUUCAUUUUGGGAGAGGGGGAGCGUGCAUGCACACAAGCAGGGGAGGGCAGAGAGAGGGAGAGAACCCCAGGCAGGCUCUGCACUGUCAGCACAGAGCCCGACAUGGGGCUCGAUCCCAGAACCAUGAGAUCAUGACCCUAGCUGAGAUCAGGAGUCAGACGCUUAAUCGACUGAGCCCCCAGGCGUCCCUACUCCCCAUCUGUUUUCAGGCAAAAUCACAGCAACGGGCCACUCAGGGAGGAGGGGAGACAGAGCUACUCCUGUGGAGCUUCUUUAACACCUUUCGGGAAAGGAAGUGGUCCCUCUGCGUAAUGUCCUCAUUUCUCCUGUGGACUCUGACCCGCCCAUUCUUCAAGGUUUGGGAGAGACUCGGAAGAGGCCCGAAGUGGUGCUUGGGGACCGUCUUCCAGAAGCGCUGGCCAGGAGCUUCCGGUGGGGGGUGGGUGGGGAGGGCUGGCCUCCCGGCUCCUAACUCGGCAUCACCGUGCCUGACGUCGAGUGGCAGGCCGUCUUGGGGCCCGGCCGGUAACACCCGUGUGCGGCAUCGCCUUGGCUGGCUGGACGUGAGCAGGGACUGACCUGGUCCCGGGGUGCACAGCUGGGCACGUGGCUGAGCCGGGAGGGGCUCUCGUGGCCGCAUCACUGAUAUCCAGGCAAGGGGGCCUCUGCCCACCGGCUCUAACCGCAGCCGGGUUCCCCGGGGAGCCCGGGGCCCGAGCGUCCGCGGAACAGCAUGAAACCGUCUCUGCUGCAAAUAUCCCUCAAGAGGACAGUUUCACAACUUUCACGUGUGCCGAGGAGUAGACGUGGUAUUGUCACUAGGACUCUAGAGGCGGGAUUUUCGAGAGGAUUGUUCAUCUUUCUCUGGGUGGCUGGGCCGAGAACCGGUUCCGUCUCUCCCCGGCCAGCAGACGGCCCCGGCGGGCCACACCACGGGCUGCUCUGGAUUGUGUUGGUUCCUUUGUGGAGCGAGAGCCCGUGCUUCAUUGUAGCUACAACAUACCCCACGCUUCCCAGCCCGAGUCUCUUGGGCCUCACACUCAUGCUGUAGGGCUUUCAAAACACAGAGCCCCAAGCGUAAGCUUUAAAAAUGCGUCCUGUUCUCUGCCGUUCCUUUCGGCCUGUGAUGAUUUACAAGAAGACAACUCUUAGGGUUUUCUUGGAACCGAGUCCAGCCAGAGAAAGAACCAGGAAGUUCUGGGGCCCUUUCUCAGCCACAAAAAGAAAUAAAAUACUAGCUUGGUUCUCUGAGGUCUACGGUCUUAGGCGGAGUGCAGAAGUGUGAAAGAACGAGCCUGAGAACACAGCCAGUCCCUCUGACUUUCUGCCCGACGUGAAGGUUCACGGGUGGAUACUUUUACCCGUUUCCCCCACCGCUGACUCUGGCAGCCGCCAGUCUCUUCUCUGCAUCUGUGAAGUUUGAGUACGAUUUGUCAGUACAUCUCAGACCUUCCCUUGAGUGACCUCACUGAUGAGAAAGCACCACUGGGUCCCUGGGGAGACACCACGAGCUUUGCUUACACAGUGCGUACAGGUUUCCAGUUCGUUGUCACGCUGCCUCGCUGUGGGCCAGCGGUCACGGCCACCUCGCCGGGGCAUGGCCGCCGGGGCCGGGAUGGACAGCACUGAGCCUGCACCACAGCGGGGCUGGGCCACAGCUGAGUAAACAGGAGAGCCUCCUCCACCACCCGCGCCCCCGGGCAGGCCAGGCUUUCAGCUUACUCUGCGUUUCCCUGUGUCCCGGGACUCUGCUUUGCACACAGCGGACGUGCCCUGAAAGUUACUGUUAAAGAUAUCUGGAAAGGAGAGACAGAGGAAGGGAGGGAGAGAGAGAGAGAGAGAGAGAGAGAGAGAGAGAGAGAGAAUUGAAUGUCUUGAAUUUUCAACUUGAAGACAUUUACUGCUAACAUAAUGGGAAAGUUUUUUUUUCUUAAUGUUUGUUUAUUUUUGAGGGAGAGAGAAAGAGAACGAGUAGGGGAGGGGCAGAGAGAGGGAGACACGGAAUCCAAAGCAGGCUCCAGGCUCCGCGAGCUGUUUCAGCACAGAGCCCGACACGGCGCUUGAACUCACGAACCAGGAGACCAUGAUCUGAACCGCAGUCGGACACUUAAUCAGCUGAGUCCCCUAGGCGCCCCGGGAAUAGUUUUUUAGUAAUAGCAGCAGGAGGAACAGGGCAGGCAAGUGUAAAUGCUGAACCCUGAACGUAGGCGAGGUAGAAACCAGGAGAGGUUGAGGGAAGGUGAUUGUCAUGGAUCUCAGUGGAGAGGCUAACACAUCCUACAUGUGGUUUCCUUCCCUGUAAGUUCUCUUCUUCAGAAAGCUGGGACACGGUCGGGCCGUCCCUUUACGUUCGUGGUAAAACUGCCAAGAUCCUUCCAGGCUGGGGACUCUCAGAAGGUUUUGCCAACUUGGGAAAGAUAUUUCAUGACUUUACGGUUCACCUGCACGUGCUCACAUCUGCCUUCCACAUACUUCCUUUUUAAUUCUUCUUCUUCUUCUUCUUCUUCUUCUUCUUCUUCUUCUUCUUCUUCUUCUUCUUCUUCUUCUUUUGUUGUUGCUUUGGCUUUUUUUUGCUGUGCAUGGACUGUUUGUGGGGAAUUGCUUCCCUGAGGUUUUAAAGACACGAUUCCAAGAAUGAGCAGUGCAGACCGAUUUCGGAGUUAGGCCUCUGAGGCCAGAGCAGGUCCUUCCUCCCAGUAUCUUUUGCCACUUAAUUUGAAUCAACUGGAAAAGACUGUAGGAAAACUCAUAUUAAUACAAUUAAUAAGGUCAAUUAUGCUCUCUCACUGACCGUUCUUUACAUAUACAUCUCAUUACUUUGAAAAUAAGCUGUUGAUAUUUGACUGCUUUUUAGCCGCAAAAUGAGUUUUGUUCAGAUCAACCCUAUGUGUUUAAAGCCCUCUACCUGAAUUGGGUUCUCCUUCGGGGGCCUCACAGUCAGGGCAGGAACAGGGGAGAGAACACUUCCAAAAAUCCCUAAAUUAUUCUGUAUAUCUUCUCCAUCAAACUCUCCAGCAGCCCAAAGUCACAAACCCGUUUCCCACCAAACGUGAGUCCCCUAACCUGAAAGUCAGGGGCAGCGCAGUAGACCCCACUGACACAGAAUAACCCCACUGAAAAGUGCACAUUCAAACGCCCUCUCUCUCUCUAUCUCUCUCUCCCAUAAACAGGAACAAGAAGAAUGUGGUGACACCAUAUGGAAACACCUGAUGUUCCACAAAGGAAGAGGCUCCUGACGGAUCCGUGAGGAAGGCCAGCUCUCAGGGCAGUAAUUGUGUUUUUCUAACACCUGGGCAAGUGAAUUAUGGACACCCCCCGGGGGUGAACAGUGCGCACGCAGACGCAUCAGGACUGCUGCUGAUGCUGCGAGGCGAGACUAAUAUAAAUGGGAGUCGUACAAAUAAAAGCUCCGUGGGGGGGCUCUCUACCGAAGCCCGAGUUCAAGUCCCCCUUCUGAAGUUUAGAGACAGCCUGCCUGGGUGGUGUUUGUCCUCGGACCCAGUGAGGAGACCCGGAGUGAUGAACACUGACUCGGAAGGAGGGGGCAUGCCCCGGUGGGUCAGCCGUACCCAGUAGCCCAGUGCUUUGGGGACGGAGCCGCGGAUACCCGGCCGGUGCCUGCGCGGGACCCUCAUGAAAGCAUCAGUGCUGCGGCCUGGGGACCAAGCCACGGAGACCCCGACGCCCGGCUGGCCAUCAGUAGCGUGCCUGCGGUUCAGCAGCUCAGCCGAGAGUGCAUCUAGGGCCGACCGCCUCCUGCACGCGGGAGAGGGCAGCGCUGUGUGAGCGCCACGGGGGCUGUGGACGCAGAAGUGAAAUCUGAUCGCGGGCCAGGAAAAGCCUGCGCAGCUAGAGCCCAGAGGAACCGCCGACCUUGAGUCAGGGCGCGGUCAUG
rnacentral:lncRNA from 1 species